rnacentral:lncRNA from 1 species
CAAAAAGCCCGCGGCCCGCGGCCCGCUUUAGGCCCGGCCCGGCCCAAGCCCGCCGGGCCCGAGCCCGGCCCGAGCCCGUUUAUGGGCGGGCCAGGCCGCGGGCCUAAAAUUAGGCCCGGCCCGACCCGUAGGCCCGCCCUUAGGCCCGCCCAUUUAAAAAAAAAACUACAAAAAUAAAAAGUAUUAAAAAAAAUAUUCAUUUCAAAAUUUUAUUCAUUGAAUGUAUAAUUACAUUUAAAAAUGUGGGAAAAUUUUACAUCACUACAAAAUAAAUACAUCCCAACUAGGUUGACACCUAUUUAUUUGUCAAUCAUUUGUAUUUUUCAACCACAAAAAAUAAAAAUAAAAAUAUAAUAUACAUUUAGUCAUUAUUUUCUGGCGAUGAUGGCGAACUAUCAUGCAUUCAUGAAGAUCUUGAUAGUUUUAAAGAUUCCAUAUCGAUAAGCAUCUCUGUUUCUCGAAUGGAAUCGUACAUCCUUUUUUCUGCAAUUUCCCAAUCUUUUACACAUAUCCCUGCUUCAAUAACGUCUGGCGCUAAGUUGCAUCGUUUUUUAUUAAUAACUCUUCCACCUGCACUAAAAGCAGCUUCUGAUGCAACUGUACUCACAGGAACUGUUAGUACAUCACG